rnacentral:rRNA from 1 species
GUGGGGAAUCUUGCGCAAUGGGCGAAAGCCUGACGCAGCCAUGCCGCGUGAAUGAUGAAGGUCUUAGGAUUGUAAAAUUCUUUCACCGGGGACGAUAAUGACGUUACCCGGAGAAGAAGCUCCGGCUAACUUCGUGCCAGCAGCCGCGGUAAUACGAAGGGGGCUAGCGUUGCUCGGAAUUACUGGGCGUAAAGGGCGCGUAGGCGGACAGCUUAGUCAGAGGUGAAAGCCCAGGGCUCAACCUUGGAAUUGCCUUUGAGACUGGCUGUCUUGAGUUUGGGAGAGGUGAGUGGAACUCCGAGUGUAGAGGUGAAAUUCGUAGAUAUUCGGAAGAACACCAGUGGCGAAGGCGACUCACUGGCCCAAUACUGACGCUGAGGCGCGAAAGCGUGGGGAGCAAACAGGAUUAGAUACCCGUGUAGUCC